rnacentral:rRNA from 1 species
AUACGUAGGGGGCGAGCGUUGUCCGGAAUGAUUGGGCGUAAAGGGCGCGUAGGCGGCCCGGUAAGUCUGGAGUGAAAGUCCUGGUUUUAAGCUGGGAAUUGCUUUGGAUACUGUCGGGCUUGAGUGCAGGAGAGGUAAGUGGAAUUCCCAGUGUAGCGGUGAAAUGCGUAGAGAUUGGGAGGAACACCAGUGGCGAAGGCGACUUACUGGACUGUAACUGACGCUGAGGCGCGAAAGUGUGGGGAGCAAACAGGAUUAGAUGACCUGGUGGUCCACGCUGUAAACGAUGAAUACUAGGUGUAGGGGGUAUCAACUCCCUCUGUGCCGCAGCAAACGCAAUAAGUAUUCCGCCUGGGGAGUACGGCCGCAAGGUUGAAACUCAAAGGAAAUGACGGGG